GUGCUCGCUUUGAUAGCACAUAUGCUAAAAUUGGAACGAUACAGACAAGAUUAGCAUGGCCCCUGUGCAAGGAUGACAUGCAAAUUCAUGAAGCAUUCCAUAUUUUA
ensembl:snRNA U6 U6 spliceosomal RNA